rnacentral:sRNA from 1 species
UGUUGCUCUUAACGGAUCUAUUAAUAGAAAAAAAAUGCACAAAUCUGAAGUACAACAGGUAGAUGAGAAAAUCUGCACCUUGGACCCUACAUGAUUGGCAGGCACAGCCCAAAAAAACACCUUAGAAGACAAUAAACUUUUUUAACAAAACUAAAUCUCAACAUAAUUAAUCAAGACAAAUAACUUUGUCUAUUAAGUUUCUUGGAAGUUAUUGUGGGAGUCCCAAGAAAUGAGGAAAUUGGACUAGACUCCAUUCUACGGAAGAGGAGGAGAAAUAUUGUCCAAGGAUUUUUUUUGGACCCCACUGACCAGACAGGGGUGAUGGUCCCAAAAGAUGGUUGGAACAGGGACUGGAAGAGCUGAUGAAGCCCCUAGAGGAGAUGUGGUGUCACUCCUAUCACAUGAAGGCGGUGCGUGGGUUUCAUGUGCCUAAUUGUACCAUACCAAAGUGGUGUGUGGAGGAGUGUGCAGAGGCUUUAGCCUCUGAAACUAGUUGGGUUGUUAUUGUGUGAAUAGGCAGUGACUAACCAAACCUACUUUGAUACUAACUUGAGAUUAUUAACUUUUAGAAAUAAGGCUUGAGUGUAUAUUUUGACUUACAAUUUGUGUAUAUACCCUUGUGGGUGUGUACAAAAAGGUCUGAAGAGAUGUGCGCAGUAAGGGAAAAAAUUCCACUACCUAUGUCACCCAGUGAUGGAUCCCAAAUCCUGCAACAGUA